rnacentral:ncRNA from 1 species
UUCUUUCUUCGGAAACGAGUUUUACUCUACUGGCGGUAAAGCCCGCGAGCAAUACGCUAAUUCGGUUUAAUUCCGAAGCCAACAGUUAGUCUGGACGGGAGAAGAAAGCU